rnacentral:rRNA from 1 species
GACGAACGCUGGCGGCGUGCUUAACACAUGCAAGUCGAACGAUGAAGCCUAGCUUGCUAGGUGGAUUAGUGGCGAACGGGUGAGUAAUACGUGAGUAACCUACCUUUAACUCUGGGAUAAGCCUGGGAAACUGGGUCUAAUACCGGAUACGACCAAUCUCCGCAUGGGGUGUUGGUGGAAAGCGUUAUGUAGUGGUUAUAGAUGGGCUCACGGCCUAUCAGCUUGUUGGUGAGGUAACGGCUCACCAAGGCGACGACGGGUAGCCGGCCUGAGAGGGUGACCGGCCACACUGGGACUGAGACACGGCCCAGACUCCUACGGGAGGCAGCAGUGGGGAAUAUUGCACAAUGGGCGCAAGCCUGAUGCAGCGACGCCGCGUGAGGGAUGACGGCCUUCGGGUUGUAAACCUCUGUUAGCAGGGAAGAAGAGAAAUUGACGGUACCUGCAGAGAAAGCGCCGGCUAACUACGUGCCAGCAGCCGCGGUAAUACGUAGGGCGCGAGCGUUGUCCGGAAUUAUUGGGCGUAAAGAGCUUGUAGGCGGUUUGUCGCGUCUGCUGUGAAAGGCCGGGGCUUAACCCCGUGUAUUGCAGUGGGUACGGGCAGACUAGAGUGCAGUAGGGGAGACUGGAACUCCUGGUGUAGCGGUGGAAUGCGCAGAUAUCAGGAAGAACACCGAUGGCGAAGGCAGGUCUCUGGGGCUGUAACUGACGCUGAGAAGCGAAAAGCAUGGGGAGCGAACAGG